rnacentral:tRNA from 1 species
CGGGGCGUGGCGCAGUUUGGCAGCGUGCCUGCUUUGGGAGCAGGAGGUCGCCGGUUCGAAUCCGGCCGCCCCGACCA